GACGAACGCUGGCGGCGUGCUUAACACAUGCAAGUCGAACGGUAAGGCCUCAGCUUGCUGGGGUACUCGAGUGGCGAACGGGUGAGUAACACGUGGGUGAUCUGCCCUGCACUUUGGGAUAAGCUUGGGAAACUGGGUCUAAUACCGAAUAUGACCACUUCUUGGAUGUUGUGGUGGAAAGCUUUUGCGGUGUGGGAUGAGCCUGCGGCCUAUCAGCUUGUUGGUGGGGUAAUGGCCUACCAAGGCGGCGACGGGUAUCCGGCCUGAGAGGGUGUACGGACACAUUGGGACUGAGAUACGGCCCAGACUCCUACGGGAGGCAGCAGUGGGGAAUAUUGCACAAUGGGCGCAAGCCGGAUGCAGCGACGCCGCGUGCAGGAAGAAGGUCUUCGGAUUGUAAACUGCUUUUUUCUGGGACGAAUUUUGACGGUACCAGAAGAAUAAGAGACUGCUAACUCUGUGCCAGCCGCCGCGGUAA
rnacentral:rRNA from 1 species